rnacentral:rRNA from 1 species
UACGGGGGGGGCAAGCGUUGUUCGGAAUUACUGGGCGUAAAGGGCUCGUAGGCGGCCAACUAAGUCAUACGUGAAAUCCCUCGGCUUAACCGGGGAACUGCGUCUGAUACUGGAUGGCUUGAGUUUGGGAGAGGGAUGCGGAAUUCCAGGUGUAGCGGUGAAAUGCGUAGAUAUCUGGAGGAACACCGAUGGCGAAGGCAAUCCCCUGGGCCUGCACUGACGCUCAUGCACGAAAGCGUGGGGAGCAAACAGG